CCGAAAUUAAAGCGUAUCACCAUUUUAGGAUCUGCGUAGCGGGGGAACUUAAACGCGGAAACGUUAUCUCCCUGCAAUGGGCCUUGGUAAUACAACUGAAUCAAAUCCAGCAGGCCUAGCAAGUCACAAAUUCUGAAAUGAAUCAAGACGUAGAAGAGGCUGCUAGUCACAUUAAGACACUCACACUAGAGUCUGCACUACACAGCGGUGUGACCAUGAAGAAUGACCAGGAUGUGGAUGAUCCUGGAAACAUGAGCAGCACAUCAACACAGACCAAUGCAGGGUGAGUACAGA